rnacentral:rRNA from 1 species
AUUGAACGCUGGCGGCAUGCUUUACACAUGCAAGUCGAACGGUAACAGGUUAAGCUGACGAGUGGCGAACGGGUAAGUAAUGCAUCGGAACGUGCCCGAUCGUGGGGGAUAACGCAGCGAAAGCUGCGCUAAUACCGCAUACGAUCUGAGGAUGAAAGCGGGGGACCGUAAGGCCUCGCGCGAUCGGAGCGGCCGAUGUCAGAUUAGGUAGUUGGUGGGGUAAAGGCCCACCAAGCCGACGAUCUGUAGCUGGUCUGAGAGGACGACCAGCCACACUGGGACUGAGACACGGCCCAGACUCCUACGGGAGGCAGCAGUGGGGAAUUUUGGACAAUGGGCGAAAGCCUGAUCCAGCAAUGCCGCGUGCAGGAAGAAGGCCUUCGGGUUGUAAACUGCUUUUGUACGGAGCGAAAAGGUCCUUUCUAAUACAAGGGGCUCAUGACGGUACCGUAAGAAUAAGCACCGGCUAACUACGUGCCAGCCGCCGCGGUAAGAC